rnacentral:tRNA from 4 species
CCGUCCUUAGCUCAGCCUGGUCAGAGCGGUCGGCUGUAGACCGACAGGUCCCCGGUUCGAAUCUGGGAGGACGGACCA